rnacentral:rRNA from 1 species
UACGUAGGGGGCAAGCGUUGUCCGGAUUUAUUGGGCGUAAAGAGCGUGUAGGCGGCCAUACAGGUCAGCUGUGAAAACUCGAGGCUCAACCUCGAGACGUCGGUUGAAACCGUAUGGCUAGAGUCCGGAAGAGGAGAGUGGAAUUCCCGGGUGUAGCGGUGAAAUGCGCAGAUAUCGGGAAGAACACCUAUGGCGAAGGCAGCUCUCUGGGGACGGUACUGACGCUGAAGACGCGAAAGCGUGGGGGAGCGAACAGG